AAAUUCUAGAAUAUACACCCUCCCNAAUCCAGGAAGGGUCCUUUAUCUGUUAAAAAACAUUUUUUUUUUAUCUGUUAAUUGAGGGGGGCAAGCCUAACAUGCAGUCGGGGAUGAGAGAGCUGCUCCUGAUUCAGCGGCGAACGGGUAGUAUGCCUAGGAAUCUGCCUGGUAGUGGGGGACAACGUUUCGAAAGGAACGCUAAUACCGCAUACGUCCUACGGGAGAAAGCAGGGGACCUUCGGGCCUUGCGCUAUCAGAUGAGCCUAGGUCGGAUUAGCUAGUUGGUGAGGUAAUGGCUCACCAAGGCGACGAUCCGUAACUGGUCUGAGAGGAUGAUCAGUCACACUGGAACUGAGACACGGUCCAGACUCCUACGGGAGGCAGCAGUGGGGAAUAUUGGACAAUGGGCGAAAGCCUGAUCCAGCCAUGCCGCGUGUGUGAAGAAGGUCUUCGGAUUGUAAAGCACUUUAAGUUGGGAGGAAGGGCAGUAACUUAAUACGUUGCUGUUUUGACGUUACCGACAGAAUAAGCACCGGCUAACUCUGUGCCAGCAGCCGCGGUAAUACAGAGGGUGCAAGCGUUAAUCGGAAUUACUGGGCGUAAAGCGCGCGUAGGUGGUUCGUUAAGUUGGAUGUGAAAUCCCCGGGCUCAACCUGGGAACUGCAUUCUAAAACUGUCGAGCUAGAGUAUGGUAGAGGGUGGUGGAAUUUCCUGUGUAGCGGUGAAAUGCGUAGAUAUAGGAAGGAACACCAGUGGCGAAGGCGACCACCUGGACUGAUACUGACACUGAGGUGCGAAAGCGUGGGGAGCAAACAGGAUUAGAUACCCUGGUAGUCCACGCCGUAAACGAUGUCAACUAGCCGUUGGGAGCCUUGAGCUCUUAGUGGCGCAGCUAACGCAUUAAGUGACCGCCGUGGGCAGAUCGGCCGCACAGAGCCUUUGCAACUCGGGAUUUUCCCCAA
rnacentral:rRNA from 1 species